CUCCUGGGCGCAGAGGCUACGCCGGCAGCCGUCUCUUAGGAGAUUUCUCCGCAGUGGGGACGGGGGUCAGGAUUUGCAGGCGAGCAAGGACAGAGAGGAGAAAUCGUACAGGGAGAAAAGAUCCUGUUUCCAGUUCAAGAUGGAGACCUAAGAGGAUCCUGAACUCCCCUCCUCCGCGAAAGCAUGAAAUCCACAGCUACCUGAGGAACAUCUUCCUCUGAAAACAAAACAAAACAAAAAACAGAAACAAAAACAAAACCCGAAACAGCGUCUGAGAGACUCCUACUUGUCAGUUAAAUAUAGAUGGUGCUGGAAGGUGCCUGAAAUAAAACCACCAUGAUCGUGUCAGCAUUACUGGAUUAGACAGAUGUUUGUGAAACUACUGCAGUAUUCUUUCUCAUCUCUGCUUUGUCUGUGUCUGUGAUGCCUGAAGGUUAGCGCCGAAGACCCAAAGGUGGGGGUUCCCGUGGGACCAACCAAAAGGGCACCCUCCUUGGCUUCAUGCAGAAUGGAAAUUGAGCAUGAGUCAGCAGGAGGUGGCAGGGGAUAUAUGGUUGUCUCUGGGGACAUAUUCUUAUAGCUCUUGGCAAGAAAAGACAGAAGAAGGACUGUGAUUGGACUGACUUAAAGGACACUGCUGUCCUGACCCUUCACUAGGGCCAGCUGUGUGAGAUAAGCACAGUCUGCAUUCUCAGCUAAUCCCUUUGCCUUCAGGACUAGGAGAAGAGAGAGAAAAGAAAACAGGAAAAGGAGACAAGAUGGGGUAUAUUUAUACAAGUUCUCUCAUCCCUACUUCCUUCACUUACUUUAGUGUUGAUGCCACAAUUAUGAACUUUUCUAAUCGAAUGGACCUUGAUAAUACCUCCUGGGAAAUGUCUUAAGGAUGCCACAUUCAAGACUGAAUGGCCAAUGUAUGAAUGUUUCAGAAUUUAGGAAUAUUUGGGGGAAGUUGCAACAAAUUUUUUUCAGUGAAAGUAUGCAUGCUUUUGCUUUGUGACAUCUUCCUCAAUGAAAACCUACAUAAAAUUUUAUAUUUCAAAGCCCUAAAGAUGAAAUACAUUUUGAAAAAUCCCCUGUGAGGUAGUAUCUGUAAAUUCAUGGUUAUUUUCACCCCAUAAAGAAGUAAACAUCAUCACAUUCCUCAUGAAAAACUCCAGCAAGAGCCAUUGGCAUGGUUUGAAUAUAAACAUUUAGCAACUAAAUGACUUUAGCAAGCUACAAUCCCUGUGCUCAGCAAUUUAAAGGAAAUCAGCAGCUUAACCAAGGUUUUUGUUGUUGUUGUUUUUUGUUUUUUGUUUUUUGUUUUUUUGCUGAGCAAUUGGGGGUUAAAAAUAAAACACUAUUACAUCAAACUGCAGACACACAAAAAUCUGAAUAAGUUCGCUAUCUUCUCAGGGCAUUUCUGUACCUAAUGAGCACAGCUGAGCCCAAAGGCGUCAAGAUGUUUCUCAACAUUAGGCAAUGGGGUGAAGGAUUAUCUAUUAAUUCCUGGGUGGUCAUCGUGAGUUCUUUGGGGUAAAAUAGGGGAAGAUCAAAAGAGGAUGUAAAUAUUUUUUAAUCAAUGAAAGAGGGAAUCGAUUCAUUCCUCUGACCUUUUUGAUUGCAGGGGAGAUACAUUAUCUGCAUUAAUUAGCAUGUUGAAAAAUUCCUUCUGGAUUGCCAAGUCCCUUCCUAUGAGUCGUGGGAAGUAUGUUUGUAACAUGAUGUGCAGCCUUCUGUCAUACAGAGCUGAUUUUUUGGACUUCAUCUUGGAGUACGCAUGAAAUGUGAAACAGCUUAGCGAGUUGUGUCACAUUAGUCUUUCUAAUUGCUGAAAAAGGUUAACAUUUGUCUAACAACAUUAAUGCUCAGGGCUUGGGUUUUGAAAUGCCAGUUUGCUUAAGAUACUG